GAUGAACGCUGGCGGCGUGCCUAAUACAUGCAAGUCGAGCGAAUGGAUUGAGAGCUUGCUCUUAUGAAGUUAGCGGCGGACGGGUGAGUAACACGUGGGUAACCUGCCCAUAAGACUGGGAUAACUCCGGGAAACCGGGGCUAAUACCGGAUAACAUUUUGAACCGCAUGGUUCGAAAUUGAAAGGCGGCUUCGGCUGUCACUUAUGGAUGGACCCGCGUCGCAUUAGCUCGUUGGUGAGGUAACGGCUCACCAAGGCAAAGAUGCGUAGCCGACCUGAGAGGGUGAUCGGCCACACUGGGACUGGAACACGGCCCAGACUCCUACGGGAGGCAGCAGUAGGGAAUCUUCCGCAAUGGACGAAAGUCUGACGGAGCAACGCCGCGUGAGUGAUGAAGGCUUUCGGGUCGUAAAACUCUGUUGUUAGGGAAGAACAAGUGCUAGUUGAAUAAGCUGGCACCUUGACGGUACCUAACCAGAAAGCCACGGCUAACUACGUGCCAGCCGCCGCAGUAA
rnacentral:rRNA from 1 species